UACGUAGGGUGCAAGCGUUGUCCGGAAUUAUUGGGCGUAAAGAGCUCGUAGGCGGUUUGUCGCGUCUGCCGUGAAAGUCCGGGGCUCAACUCCGGAUCUGCGGUGGGUACGGGCAGACUAGAGUGAUGUAGGGGAGACUGGAAUUCCUGGUGUAGCGGUGAAAUGCGCAGAUAUCAGGAGGAACACCGAUGGCGAAGGCAGCUCUCUGGGUCCCUACCGACGCUGGGGUGCGAAAGCAUGGGGAGCGAACAGG
rnacentral:rRNA from 1 species